rnacentral:rRNA from 1 species
CCUACGGGAGGCAGCAGUGGGGAAUAUUGCACAAUGGGGGAAACCCUGAUGCAGCAACGCCGCGUGAGUGAAGAAGUAUUUCGGUAUGUAAAGCUCUAUCAGCAGGGAAGAAGAAAGACGGUACCUGACUAAGAAGCCCCGGCUAACUACGUGCCAGCAGCCGCGGUAAUACGUAGGGGGCAAGCGUUAUCCGGAUUUACUGGGUGUAAAGGGAGCGUAGACGGCUGUGCAAGUCUGAAGUGAAAGCCCGUGGCUCAACCGCGGAACUGCUUUUGAAACUGCGGGUCUUGAGUGAUGGAGAGGCAGGCGGAAUUCCCAGUGUAGCGGUGAAAUGCGUAGAUAUUGGGAGGAACACCAGUGGCGAAGGCGGCCUGCUGGACAUUAACUGACGCUGAGGCGCGAAAGCGUGGGGAGCAAACAGGAUUAGAUACCCGAGUAGUC